rnacentral:misc_RNA from 1 species
UCGUAACAAGGUUUCCGUAGGUGAACCUGCGGAAGGAUCAUUAAUUAUGUUAAAGCGCCUUACCUUAGGGUUUCCUCUGGGGUAAGUGAUUGCUUCUACACUGUGAAAAUUUGGCUGAGAGACUCAGACUGGUCAUGGGUAGACCUAUCUGGGGUUUGAUCGAUGCCACUCCUGGUUUCAGGAGCACCCUUCAUAAUAAACCUAGAAAUUCAGUAUUAUAAAGUUUAAUAAAAAACAACUUUUAACAAUGGAUCUCUUGGUUCUCGCAUCGAUGAAGAACGUAGCAAAGUGCGAUAACUAGUGUGAAUUGCAUAUUCAGUGAAUCAUCGAGUCUUUGAACGCAGCUUGCACUCUAUGGUUUUUCUAUAGAGUACGCCUGCUUCAGUAUCAUCACAAACCCACACAUAACAUUUGUUUAUGUGGUAAUGGGUCGCAUCGCUGUUUUAUUACAGUGAGCACCUAAAAUGUGUGUGAUUUUCUGUCUGGCUUGCUAGGCAGGAAUAUUACGCUGGUCUCAGGAUCUUUUUCUUUGGUUCGCCCAGGAAGUAAAGUACAAGAGUAUAAUCCAGCAACUUUCAAACUAUGAUCUGAAGUCAGGUGGGAUUACCCGCUGAACCUAAGCAUAUC